CCAGCCAACCACCACGUUCUAUGUGUGCGUAUGUUGUGUGUGAGAUGAUGUGUGUGUGUCUGUGUUUCAGAGAGAGAGAGAGGUGUGUGUGUGUGUCUGUGUUUCAGAGAGAGAGAGAGGUGUGGGUGUGUGUGUCUGUGUUUCAGAGAGAGAGAGAGGUGUGUGUGUGUGUGUCUGUGUUUCAGAGAGAGAGAGGGGUGUGUGUGUGUGUGUCUGUGUUUCAGAGAGAGAGAGAGGUGUGUGUGUGUGUGUGUGUGUGUGUGUGUCUGUGUUUCAGAGAGAGAGAGAGAGAGUGUGCGUG